rnacentral:rRNA from 1 species
AGCCAUUAUUAAAAAUUUUUUGCAUAUCCAAUAGCGGAGGAAAAGAAACCAACAGGGAUUACCUCAGUAACGGCGAGUGAAGCGGUAACAGCUCAAAUUUGAAAGCUAGCUCUUUUAGGGUUCGCAUUGUAAUUUGUAGAAGAUGCUUCGGGUGUGGCCCCGGUCUAAGUUCCUUGGAACAGGACGUCAUAGAGGGUGAGAAUCCCGUAUGUGACUGGGUGCUUUCGCUCAUGUGAAGCUCUUUCGACGAGUCGAGUUGUUUGGGAAUGCAGCUCAAAAUGGGUGGUAAAUUUCAUCUAAAGCUAAAUAUUGGCCAGAGACCGAUAGCGCACAAGUAGAGUGAUCGAAAGAUGAAAAGCACUUUGGAAAGAGAGUUAAACAGUACGUGAAAUUGUUGAAAGGGAAGCGCUUGCAACCAGACUUGCGCGCUGAUGAUCAUCCGGGCUUCUGCCCGGUGCACUCGUCUGCGCUCAGGCCAGCAUCGGUUUCGGUGGUGGGAUAAAGGCCUUGGGAAUGUAGCUCCUCUCGGGGAGUGUUAUAGCCCUCGGUGCAAUGCCGCCUACCGGGACCGAGGACCGCGCUCGGCUAGGUGCCGUCGUAUAUUCAAGCAAUCCUCAAU